rnacentral:rRNA from 1 species
CGACCCCAGUCAGACG